rnacentral:rRNA from 1 species
UACAGAGGGUGCGAGCGUUAAUCGGAAUUACUGGGCGUAAAGCGUGCGUAGACGGUUAUUUAAGUCGGAUGUGAAAUCCCCGGGCUUAACCUGGGAACUGCAGUCGAGACUGCUUUGCUUGAGUAUGGGAGAGGGAGGUGGAAUUUCCGGUGUAGCGGUGAAAUGCGUAGAUAUCGGAAGGAACAUCAGUGGCGAAGGCGACCUCCUGGACCAAUACUGACACUCAAGUGCGAAAGCGUGGGGAGCAAACAGG